UACGGAGGGUGCAAGCGUUAUCCGGAUUCACUGGGUUUAAAGGGUGCGUAGGUGGGCAGGUAAGUCAGUGGUGAAAUCUCCGGGCUUAACCCGGAAACUGCCGUUGAUACUAUUUGUCUUGAAUAUUGUGGAGGUAAGCGGAAUAUGUCAUGUAGCGGUGAAAUGCUUAGAUAUGACAUAGAACACCAAUUGCGAAGGCAGCUCGCUACACAUAUAUUGACUCUGAGGCACGAAAGCGUGGGGAUCAAACAGG
rnacentral:rRNA from 1 species